rnacentral:rRNA from 1 species
UACGGGGGGAGCAAGCGUUGUUCGGAUUUACUGGGCGUAAAGGGCGCGUAGGCGGCCAGCGCAAGUCAGUUGUGAAAUCUCCGGGCUUAACUCGGAAAGGUCAACUGAUACUGCGCGGCUAGAGUGCAGAAGGGGCAACUGGAAUUCUCGGUGUAGCGGUGAAAUGCGUAGAUAUCGAGAGGAACACCUGCGGCGAAGGCGGGUUGCUGGGCUGACACUGACGCUGAUGCGCGAAAGCCAGGGAGCGAACGGG